AAUUGGAGGGCAAGUCUGGUGCCAGCAGCCGCGGUAAUUCCAGCUCCAAUAGCGUAUAUUAAAGUUGUUGCAGUUAAAAAGCUCGUAGUUGAAUUUCGGGAUUGACGUGAUGGUCGUGCCUUAAGGGGUAUGAACUGUCGCAGUUGAUUUCUCACCUUCUGGAGAAGCAUGAUGUCCUUAAUUGGGUGUCAUGUGGAACCAGGACCUUUACCUUGAAAAAAUUAGAGUGUUUAAAGCAGGCAUUUUGCUCGAAUACAUUAGCAUGGAAUAAUAGAAUAGGACGGCGUGGUUCUAUUUUGUUGGUUUCUAGGAUCACCGUAAUGAUUAAUAGGGAUAGUUGGGGGCAUUAGUAUUCAAUUGUCAGAGGUGAAAUUCUUGGAUUUAUUGAAGACUAACUACUGCGAAAGCAUUUGCCAAGGAUGUUUUCAUUAAUCAAGAACGAAAGUUAGGGGAUCGAAGACGAUCAGAUACCGUCGUAGUCUUAACCAUAAACUAUGCCGACUAGGAAUCAGACGAUGUUAAUUUUUUAAUGACUCGUUUGGCACCUUACGGGAAACCAAAGUGU
rnacentral:rRNA from 1 species